rnacentral:rRNA from 1 species
GUCUAUGGCCACACCACCCCGAACACGCCUGAUCGCGUCUGAUCUCGGAAGCUCAGCAGGGCCAGGCCUGUUGAGUACUUGGAUGGGAGACCACCUAGGAAGACCGGGUGCUGUAGGCG